rnacentral:rRNA from 1 species
AGCGUACACGGUGGAUGCCCUGGCAGUCAGAGGCGAUGAAGGACGUGCUAAUCUGCGAAAAGCGUCGGUAAGGUGAUAUGAACCGUUAUAACCGGCGAUGUCCGAAUGGGGAAACCCAGUGUGAUUCGUCACACUAUCGUUAACUGAAUACAUAGGUUAACGAGGCGAACCGGGGGAACUGAAACAUCUAAGUACCCCGAGGAAAAGAAAUCAACCGAGAUUCCCCCAGUAGCGGCGAGCGAACGGGGAGCAGCCCAGAGUCUGAAUCAGCUUGUGUGUUAGUGGAACGGUCUGGAAAGUCCGACGGUACAGGGUGAUAGUCCCGUACACCAAAAUGCACAGGCUGUGAACUCGAAGAGUAGGGCGGGACACGUGGUAUCCUGUCUGAAUAUGGGGGGACCAUCCUCCAAGGCUAAAUACUCCUGACUGACCGAUAGUGAACCAGUACCGUGAGGGAAAGGCGAAAAGAACCCCGGCGAGGGGAGUGAAAAAGAACCUGAAACCGUGUACGUACAAGCAGUGGGAGCACCUUCGGGUGUGACUGCGUACCUUUUGUAUAAUGGGUCAGCGACUUAUAUUCUGUAGCAAGGUUAACCGUAUAGGGGAGCCGCAGGGAAACCGAGUCUUAACUGGGCGUUAAGUUGCAGGGUAUAGACCCGAAACCCGGUGAUCUAGCCAUGGGCAGGUUGAAGGUUGGGUAACACUAACUGGAGGACCGAACCGACUAAUGUUGAAAAAUUAGCGGAUGACUUGUGGCUGGGGGUGAAAGGCCAAUCAAACCGGGAGAUAGCUGGUUCUCCCCGAAAGCUAUUUAGGUAGCGCCUCGUGAAUUCAUCUUCGGGGGUAGAGCACUGUUUCGGCUAGGGGGUCAUCCCGACUUACCAACCCGAUGCAAACUACGAAUACCGAAGAAUGUUAUCACGGGAGACACACGGCGGGUGCUAACGUCCGUCGUGAAGAGGGAAACAACCCAGACCGCCAGCUAAGGUCCCAAAGUCAUGGUUAAGUGGGAAACGAUGUGGGAAGGCACAGACAGCCAGGAUGUUGGCUUAGAAGCAGCCAUCAUUUAAAGAAAGCGUAAUAGCUCACUGGUCGAGUCGGCCUGCGCGGAAGAUGUAACGGGGCUAAACCAUGCACCGAAGCUGCGGCAGCGACACUAUGUGUUGUUGGGUAGGGGAGCGUUCUGUAAGCCUGCGAAGGUGACCUGUGAGGGUUGCUGGAGGUAUCAGAAGUGCGAAUGCUGACAUAAGUAACGAUAAAGCGGGUGAAAAGCCCGCUCGCCGGAAGACCAAGGGUUCCUGUCCAACGUUAAUCGGGGCAGGGUGAGUCGACCCCUAAGGCGAGGCCGAAAGGCGUAGUCGAUGGGAAACAGGUUAAUAUUCCUGUACUUGGUGUUACUGCGAAGGGGGGACGGAGAAGGCUAUGUUAGCCGGGCGACGGUUGUCCCGGUUUAAGCAUGUAGGCUGGUUGUCCAGGCAAAUCCGGAUAAUCAAGGCUGAGGUGUGAUGACGAGGCACUACGGUGCUGAAGUAACAAAUGCCCUGCUUCCAGGAAAAGCCUCUAAGCAUCAGGUAACAUCAAAUCGUACCCCAAACCGACACAGGUGGUCAGGUAGAGAAUACCAAGGCGCUUGAGAGAACUCGGGUGAAGGAACUAGGCAAAAUGGUGCCGUAACUUCGGGAGAAGGCACGCUGGUGUGUAGGUGAAGUCCCUGCGGAUGGAGCUGAGACCAGUCGAAGAUACCAGCUGGCUGCAACUGUUUAUUAAAAACACAGCACUGUGCAAACACGAAAGUGGACGUAUACGGUGUGACGCCUGCCCGGUGCCGGAAGGUUAAUUGAUGGGGUUAUCCGUAAGGAGAAGCUCUUGAUCGAAGCCCCGGUAAACGGCGGCCGUAACUAUAACGGUCCUAAGGUAGCGAAAUUCCUUGUCGGGUAAGUUCCGACCUGCACGAAUGGCGUAAUGAUGGCCAGGCUGUCUCCACCCGAGACUCAGUGAAAUUGAACUCGCUGUGAAGAUGCAGUGUACCCGCGGCAAGACGGAAAGACCCCGUGAACCUUUACUAUAGCUUGACACUGAACAUUGAGCCUUGAUGUGUAGGAUAGGUGGGAGGCUUUGAAGCGUGGACGCCAGUCUGCGUGGAGCCAACCUUGAAAUACCACCCUUUAAUGUUUGAUGUUCUAACGUUGGCCCCUGACCGGGGUUGCGGACAGUGUCUGGUGGGUAGUUUGACUGGGGCGGUCUCCUCCCAAAGCGUAACGGAGGAGCACGAAGGUUAGCUAAUCCUGGUCGGACAUCAGGAGGUUAGUGCAAUGGCAUAAGCUAGCUUGACUGCGAGCGUGACGGCGCGAGCAGGUGCGAAAGCAGGUCAUAGUGAUCCGGUGGUUCUGAAUGGAAGGGCCAUCGCUCAACGGAUAAAAGGUACUCCGGGGAUAACAGGCUGAUACCGCCCAAGAGUUCAUAUCGACGGCGGUGUUUGGCACCUCGAUGUCGGCUCAUCACAUCCUGGGGCUGAAGUAGGUCCCAAGGGUAUGGCUGUUCGCCAUUUAAAGUGGUACGCGAGCUGGGUUUAGAACGUCGUGAGACAGUUCGGUCCCUAUCUGCCGUGGGCGCUGGAGAAUUGAGGGGGGCUGCUCCUAGUACGAGAGGACCGGAGUGGACGCAUCACUGGUGUUCGGGUUGUCAUGCCAAUGGCACUGCCCGGUAGCUAAAUGCGGAAGAGAUAAGUGCUGAAAGCAUCUAAGCACGAAACUUGCCCCGAGAUGAGUUCU